ensembl:lincRNA
AUGUCUCACUCUUUUGCGACCCCGUGGACUUUAGCCCACCAGGCUCCUCUGUCCGUGGAAUUCUCCAGGCAAGAAUACUGGAGUGGGUGGCCAUUCUCUUCUGCAGGGGAUCUUCCCAACUCAGGGAUGGAAUCCGGGUCUCCUGCCCUGUGGCAGAUUCUUUACCGUCUGAGCCACCAGGGUGCCCUAGGCCAUUCACACAGGCAGCAUGGGUUUAGAGAUCACGCAGGGACCUUUCCUCAUCAGAAAUGUUUCCUCAGUGAAGUAAGAAUUUUGCAAUGGGCAGACCAGUAUGGACUUGAAAGAUCCAUGGUGCGGGAAAAGCGUGUCCCUUUUCCACCAGUGUUGUCUUCUACACUAUCUUUUGGGACCUUUGACUGGACAGUUUUCCCGCCUAUUUUUCUAAAGUCCCCUAUAGGAUCAAAGACCCACAUCAACAGUACACAGCAUGGUCUUAUACCCACAGUGUUCUCUCUUCUGUCGUGGCAGGUGACCUCAGGACUAACUGAAAAUGGUCAUUCCAUCACCAUUACUGCCCUCGUGCACACAGAAGCCUGUGUUACAGAUUCUGAGGACUGAGUUACGGAGACCAGCAAUCUGCCUGUAAUUAAUUUCCUAUUUAAGUCUCUCUCUUUUUUAAUUCUGUUUAUAUUCUACCGGUGGAUGCUUCUUCAUUGCUCUUCUCCAUUCCUUCUUAUGAUUUUCAUCCUAAAGAACUUGGUCUUGUCCAGACACUUGAGGUCCAGAGAUCUUCCAUGUCUAGAAAAAUUUCUCUCCAGCCCUCCUCCCUCCCUGGCUUUCCCAUCGUCAUCCUGACGCCUGACACCCAGUCUGCGCAAUUGAGUUAUGCUGAGCAAUCCUGAGCGGCCAGCAUAGAGGCGGGCUGGGCAUCAGAAAAACUGAGUACCCCUCCUAUGGGGGUUCUCCUGCACUGGAUGGCUCGACACGCACAGCUGUUUCUUGCCUUUCAGCUGUCAGGAUUACACAAUUUAUUUUUAGAAAAAGGUUCUUCCAUCAGGAAUCUAAUUCCAGAAAUCCUCCUGUCCUGCAUUCAAGAGAAUGAAUCAAGAAAGUAAAAGGAGAUGAAAAAGAGCAAGAAGAGGAAAUGUGAGUGUUAGAGAGGGUAGGAGGGCGUGCAGAAGGCGGAUAAGUGCACUUCAGGGAAACCCCCAAACCAGAGGAGCGCCCUGGGGUGGCCACCACGGCAUGGGACUGUGCAGGGGAGAUGAGUGAUGGCUCCCAUCAGUGCCAGCGAGGGAAGGGUGAACUGCCUACAUGUCCCAGGGAAUGGACACCCAGUCCUUCCCAGGCCCCGAAGAGGGGGCCGUACGUGCCUGCAGCGCUACCAUAUGCACGACUCUGGGAGGGACAGGUCGCGUUGCAUUCUUUGUGGAAAGCGUCCCUGGUAUGGUUAAGUGUCCUGUCCUCCUGACCUUCUCAGACUAAACAAGGAGCUCCUCAACUGAUCGGUGUGGUGACAGUGUGACACGCCCUUGAUGCCCCACCCCCACCCCCGUUUCAGGCCUCCUUGGACAAGGGUGAGGCGCACAGAGGCACCAAGGUUCCUGCUCAUAACAAGCAGGCAGUUCCCUGUGGGCACACAGUCACCCUGACAUCAAGCAGGGGACCCUGCAGGAUUCACACCUGACUGGGAUUUGCCCAAGCCCUGGGGACCCCCUCAGCCUCUGUGGAGCCCCGUGGAACGGCCUUGGUCCCCUCAUGGCACCGUUUCUCGGGCUGAGAUUCUGCCAACUUUCUGCAUACAAAUUAAACUCAAAACACAAGAAUGUGAAAGAAACUCAAUGCAGUGCUAACUCGAGGGUAUGCUGAGUUAGGAUUCUAAGUUACUUGCAUUUCUUUUUAUUUCCCACUUUUGUAAAUAAAAAAACAAAUGCAAUUUUCAAAGCAGUAUGUUCUGUGACCUUUUCUUACUGAUAUAGACGGAGGCCGUGACAUUGAUGGUUCUAUUAUUAUUAAAGCACUGUGCUGUGCUGCGCUUAGUCACUCAGUCAGGUCCGAGUCUUUGCAGCCCCAUGGACUGUAGCCCACCAGGCUCCUCUGUCCAUGAGAUUCUCCAGGCAAGAGUACUGGAGUGGGUUGCCGUGGCCUCCUGCAGGAGAUCUUCCCAACCCAGGAAUCAAACACCGGUCUCCCGCAUUGCAUGUGGAUUCUUCACUGUCUGAGCCACCAGAAAAGCCCAAGAAUACUGGAGUGGGUAGCCUAUCACUUCUCCAGGGGAUCUUCCCAACCCAGGAAGCAAACUGGGGUCUCCCGCAUUGUGGGUGGAUUCUUUACCAGCUGAGCUACCAGGGAAGCCCUUAAAGCAUUCUAAUUUUCUUUUAAUUGAGGGGCAAAGUUUGGGUGGGGAAUUAGAAAGAAAAAUGACUUUUAGGGGACAAGGUGCAUUCCAGGUCUCUGCCCAUUUCUACUCUGCAGGUCUUAAAAUGUUGAGCGUGAUCUGGGAGGACCAGGGUCACCAGUCCCACCGGUGUUGUUAUAGCCACGCGUUCCGGGAAACAAACUCACUCAGAAGGACAAUGCAGAUAGUGGAGUGCAGUUUAUUACACCAGCGGGCCCAGGGCAGAGUCUCCUCUUAGCGAAGGACCCCGACCAGCAUUUGUGAAAAUCUUUUAUACCCCAUGUGUACGUGUCCGAACCCACCACCCCAAUUUCCUUGAGAUUUACCUAAAACAAAGGAAGGGUAAACACAAUCACAAUAAUCCCAUCAUUCAUGUGUUAUGUGUUCCAACACUUAAUAAUCACUAAGCCUGCCGAUAGAUACAGAAAGAAUUUAUGACCUGUCCGGAGGCAGGAGUGAUUAGAGUAUGUUUUCUCUUGGGCGAUGAGUGACCUGGAUGUGAUCUUCAAGAUUCCCCUGUCCAGAGGGGGUCUUAUCCUUCUAUUGGAGUUUCCAUAAGCACUAAGCGCAGAGUUCAGAGUCCAUUGGAGAGGCGGCCGAGUCCAGCUCUGUCUGUUUCCUCCUUCAGUGUCAGCAGACCUGCUCCUCGCAGAGCCCAGGUCGGGGGUCUCAACCCUUUGAUCCUGAAGUUACUUACAAUAUUUUUCCCAGUUGGAGAUUUGCACAGAGAAGCGAUUGGCACCUUCCCCUGGGUCAGUGGUAAAGCCUUUCCUGGCCCACUAUCCUUGGCAGUUCUGGACUUUCAAAGUCUCCUAUGUUUGGACUUCCCUGCCUGUCCAGUGGUUACAACUCCAUGCUUCCAAUGCAGGGGACAUGGGUUCAAUCCCUACUUGGGGAACUAUGUAACUUGAGGCACCAAAAUCAUUUUAAAAAAUAAGUAAAAUAACAAUAAAACCCUCCUAUGUUUGAUUGGAAUCCAUGUUUCAAGAUCUUACUCAGCAGGGGCUAAAAUCCCGCCUCUUGUUCCUGAACAUGUGUCCUGGAACCCAGGACACACAGAGGCGUGGAACUGAUCUGCUCUGAUUCCCAGGCUUUGGUCAGUUCAGUUCAGUUCAGUCACUCAGUCGUGUCUGACUCUUUGAGACCCCAUGGACCACAACAUGCCAGGCCACCCUUCAGUUCAGUUCAGUUGCUGAGUCGUGUCUGACUCUUUGCAACUCCAUGGACCGCAGCACGCCAGGCCUCCCUGUCCAUCACCAACUCCCGAAGUCCACCCAAACCCAUGUCCAUUGAGUCAGUGAUGCCAUCCAACCAUCUCAUCCUCUGUCUUCCCCUUCUCCUCCUGCCCUCAAUCUUUCCCACCAUCAGGGUCUUUUCCAAUGAGUUAGCUCUUCGCAUCAGGUGGCCAAAGUAUUGGAAUUUCAGCUUCAACAUCAGUCCUUCCAAUGAACACCCAGGACUGAUCUCCUUUAGGAUGGACUGGCUGGAUCUCCUUGCAGUCCAAGAGACUCUCAAGAGUCUCUAUUCGAAAGCUAUGCU